GACGAACGCUGGCGGCGUGCUUAACACAUGCAAGUCGAACGGAAAGGCCCAGCUUGCUGGGUGCUCGGGUGGCGAACGGGUGAGUAACACGUGGGUGAUCUGCCCCUAACUUCGGGAUAAGCUUGGGAAACUGGGUCUAAUACCGGAUAGGACAAUCGUUUAGUGUCGGUUGUGGAAAGUUUUUUCGGUUAGGGAUGAGCCCGCGGCCUAUCAGCUUGUUGGUGGGGUAAUGGCCUACCAAGGCGUCGACGGGUAGCCGGCCUGAGAGGGUGGACGGCCACAUUGGGACUGAGAUACGGCCCAGACUCCUACGGGAGGCAGCAGUGGGGAAUAUUGCACAAUGGGCGCAAGCCUGAUGCAGCGACGCCGCGUGGGGGAUGACGGCCUUCGGGUUGUAAACCUCUUUCGACAGGGACGAAGCUUUGGUGACGGUACCUGUAUAAGAAGCACCGGCUAACUACGUG
rnacentral:rRNA from 1 species